GAUGAACGCUAGCGGCAGGCCUAACACAUUGCAAGUCCGAGGGGUAAGAGCUUUCUUCGGAGAGUACACGACCGGCGCACGGGUUGAGUAACGCGUAUGCAACCUACCUCUUACAGGGAGAUAGCCCAGAGAAAUUUGGAUUAAUAUCCCAUAGAUUUAUGAUAUCGCAUGAUAUUAUAUAUAAAGCUCCGGCGGUAAGAGAUGGGCAUGCGUGACAUUAGUUAGUUGGUGAGGUAACGGCUCACCAAGACGACGAUGUCUAGGGGGUCUGAAAGGAUGGUCCCCCACACUGGUACUGAGACACGGACCAGACUCCUACGGGAGGCAGCAGUGAGGAAUAUUGGUCAAUGGAGGCAACUCUGAACCAGCCAUGCCGCGUGAAGGAUGAAUGUCCUAUGGAUUGUAAACUUCUUUUCUUUGCCAAGAACAGUCAAUACGUGUAUUGAUUUGACUAGCUUAGGAAUAAGCAUCGGCUAACUCCGUGCCAGCAGCCGCGGUAAUACGGAGGAUGCAAGCGUUAUCCGGAUUCACUAGGUUUAAAGGGUGCGCAGGCGGAAUAAUAAGUCAGUGGUGAAAUCUUGCGGCUUAACCGUAAAAUAGCCAUUGAUACUGUUAUUCUUGAGUUCGGUUGAGGUAGGCGGAAUGAGUAAUGUAGCGGUGAAAUGCUUAGAUAUUACUCAGAACACCGAUUGCGAAGGCAGCUUACUAAGCCGUUACUGACGCUGAGUCACGAAAGCGUGGGGAGCGAACAGGAUUAGAUACCCUGGUAGUCCACGCCGUAAACGUUGAUUACUCGUUGUUGGCGAUACACAGUCAGCGACUGAGCGAAAGCAUUAAGUAAUCCACCUGGGGAGUACGUCAGCAAUGAUGAAACUCAAAGGAAUUGACGGGGGCCCGCACAAGCGGAGGAACAUGUGGUUUAAUUCGAUGAUACGCGAGGAACCUUACCUGGGCUUAAAUGUAGAGUGCAUUAUUUGGAAACAGAUAUUUCCUUCGGGACUCUUUACAAGGUGCUGCAUGGUUGUCGUCAGCUCGUGCCGUGAGGUGUCGGGUUAAGUCCCAUAACGAGCGCAACCCUCAUCGUUAGUUGCCAUCAGUUCGGCUGGGGACUCUAACGAAACUGCCGGUGCAAACCGUGAGGAAGGUGAGGAUGACGUCAAAUCAGCACGGCCCUUAUGUCCAGGGCUACACACGUGUUACAAUGGUCAGUACAGUGGGCAGCUACUUGGCGACAAGAUGCUAAUCUCCAAAACUGAUCCUAGUUCGGAUCGGAGUCUGCAACUCGACUCCGUGAAGCUGGAUUCGCUAGUAAUCGCACAUCAGCCAUGGUGCGGUGAAUACGUUCCCGGGCCU
rnacentral:rRNA from 1 species